GACACUGUCAAGGAAGUAACAGCUUUCCAGGAAGUGUUACUGUCUUGGGGUCUUCCAACUCAUUUCUAACAAAAAAGGUCUCACUUUGGGACUGUCUAUUUACAUCACAGCAGGUGGAGUUUGCUCAGUUGUCCUCACCAAAGACCUAAAACAUGUAACAGCAAGGGGCCAGAGUUAUGGACCAGGAGCCAAUGGACGGCAGGACAAAGACCGAGGGUGCCACCCACAACUGAAACUCUGAGGAAGACCAUGAGAUGCCGCUGAAAUAGCAAAGGAAACUUGAGUCACAUCUCCGUCCUCCUCUAUUUUAUCCAGAACGAGGAAUUGGAAGUGUGUGGAGGAGGAUUUCCAGAACAUCACAUCUUCCCUUGAGGCAGUGAAGCGCGAUGCUUGCAUAUGAAAUGCAUUCGGUCAUCCCCCUGGCAACGGAAGGAAAAGGUGCAUUGAGUGAAACGAGAGCAGAUUGCUUCUAUUCUUUAUUUAGAGAGUUAUUCUAGACACUGAGUCACAGAUGCCCUGCCAUCAUAAAAAUCCUUCCUGCUCGAUUAAGGCUGUUGGAGGAAAAUGUUGAAGGCUCAGGUCUCUGUGGGGAAGCAUGAAAUGCUAUCAUGGUUUUUUUAUUUGUCUCAAACAUGUUUUUUUUUCAUUUGUAAAUAUGUCACAGAUUUUGGCUACUGACAUUAUAUUCCUCCUGAGACAGUUGGAUAGCAGGAUACAGACAAAGUUGACGCCGUAACAUAAAUAGUGUGAAUUUUAACCAUGCAAGGGGUGAGCACAGAGCUACUAGAAGUGUGUGUGAUGUUCAAUGCAUCUGUUAACAGGCAGGCUCCUUUAUGAAAUGUGCUCUCGUUCACACUGUUUAGCUAUGGGGCUUGGCCAUAAACCUAAAUGUACUUGUAUUAAUGUGUUUCAGAUGUGUGUGGGGUGUAAUGUGCUCCAUAUUGUCGGUCUCAGUUCCUUCAUGUAGCUUAAAUUGUCGUCCGUGUACUAGAGCCCCAAACCA